UAUUAGGGAGUGGGUACCGGUCGUCCCGUAGUGUUUUAUUAAGUGCCCGGAAGUCCAAACAAAGUCGUAGUACUCCAUGUUUUUUUGCACUGGGAUAAGUGGGGCAUUAUAGGGUGAUCGCGAAGGGCGAAUCACACCCUGUUGCUGGAGCGAUAUAAGUUGUUCAUUUACUCUGUCAUGAUAACUGAUAGGAAUGUUAUAUGAACGCCUGUACACUACUUCAUCAGUGUUUUGCUUGAUGGUGCUUAAAAAAAUAGGGCGUUACUGUUAAUGGUUCUUGUUUUGUGGAAAACACUGUUAUAUAUUUAUCUAUUAAGGACUUUAAAACCUAAUUCUCUCUCUUCACUUGGGAAUUUAGCGUCAACAAUUUGAUAGAGGCUUUUCUUCCUUACUUCAAGCUCUGCGGGCUUCAAGUCUGUUUUAGCUGUGUCAGCGGUCUGUACACUAGAUACUUGUGGCAGAUCAGCGUAUAGCUCAUGGGUGACAGGCUUCACAGAUCCUAACGUUGUAUUAUCAUCUGUCUUUACACUCACUUUCAAUAUUCAAAUACGGCACAGUGACAUAAGAUCUUUGAUUGUCAGAUGAAGGGGUUAACUUAACUAUCCCUGAGCACAAGACUCUAGCCUGAGGAGUACUAACACAAGGCUCAAAUAAAGCUUCACUUGCCUGUAGUUGCGUCACUAGCGUUAUGUAACCUGCAACAGUUGCAUUCAGUUGCAAAGGUUCCGCUGCUUGGCAACGUACGGCCUUAUUUUCAGUGAGACCUUCUUCAUUUCCAUCUACAUUUAGCUAAGAUCCUUCACCUCUAGAUAUAAGACAUUUUUCCUGGCAUAAUUGUAUGGUUUCCCCUUCUAUUAUCAGUUUUAAGCUUCGUUCUUUUGUUCCUCAUUUAGUUGCAAUGUUUUCAAAAUAAUCUCGUGCUACACGACAAAUCAGUACUCAACAUAAUAUGAGUCGGCAAAUCUACAUCGCGUGUUAUCAAUAAGUCUUGGAAACUACUUUUUCCUUCCAUAUUAACUUGUCUUUUACCGUCAUUUUCAAUAUGGUAUCUUUGCACAGAGACAAUAUUCACGGGUUUCGCUUCACAGUUAUUUACUGCGAGCCCUAAUUCUUUAAUAAAUUCAUCCGUUAAAAACUCACACACGCUCCUGUUUCUAGGAGUGCUGCCACUUUUGCAUAUGUAUUAUCAUGAGUAGUGCGAUCUGCCUACCAAAGUUACUCUUGAGUUAUGUUAAUUAUAGCCUUCUUGUCAUUAUUUUUAAGGUCACUCCCUUGUUCGUUAUAGCCUUCUUUUCCUUAUAUUUAUGUGAGGCGGUUACUCCCUUGUUCGUUAUAGCCUUCAUCUUAUUAUAUUAAAGGUUACUCCCUUGUUCGUUAUAGCCUUCAUCUUAUUAUAUUAAAGGUUACUCCCUUGUUCGUUAUAGCCUUCAUCUUAUUAUAUUAAAGGUUACUCCCUUGUUCGUUAUAGCCUUCAUCUUAUUAUAUUAAAGGUCACUCCCUUGUUCGUUAUAGCCUUCAUCUUAUUAUAUUAAAGGUCACUCCCUUGUUCGUUAUAGCCUUCAUCUUAUUAUAUUAAAGGUUACUCCCUUGUUCGUUAUAGCCUUCAUCUUAUUAUAUUAAAGGUUACUCCCUUCUUCGUUAUAGCCUUCAUCUUAUUAUAUUAAAGGUCACUCCCUUGUUCGUUAUAGCCUUCAUCUUAUUAUAUUAAAGGUUACUCCCUUGUUCGUUAUAGCCUUCAUCUUAUUAUAUUAAAGGUCACUCCCUUGUUCGUUAUAGCCUUCAUCUUAUUAUAUUAAAGGUUACUCUCUUCUUCGUUAUAGCCUUCAUCUUAUUAUAUUAAAGGUUACUCCCUUGUUCGUUAUAGCCUUCAUCUUAUUAUAUUAAAGGUUACUCUCUUGUUCGUUAUAGCCUUCAUCUUAUUAUAUUAAAGGUUACUCCCUUGUUCGUUAUAGCCUUCAUCUUAUUAUAUUAAAGGUUACUCCCUUGUUCGUUAUAGCCUUCAUCUUAUUAUAUUAAAGGUUACUCCCUUGUUCGUUAUAGCCUUCAUCUUAUUAUAUUAAAGGUUACUCCCUUCUUCGUUAUAGCCUUCAUCUUAUUAUAUUAAAGGUUACUCCCUUGUUCGUUAUAGCCUUCAUCUUAUUAUAUUAAAGGUUACUCCCUUCUUCGUUAUAGCCUUCAUCUUAUUAUAUUAAAGGUUACUCCCUUGUUCGUUAUAGCCUUCAUCUUAUUAUAUUAAAGGUUACUCCCUUGUUCGUUAUAGCCUUCAUCUUAUUAUAUUAAAGGUUACUCCCUGUUUUGUUCUUCGCUCAUUUUCCGUUUUUUCCACUGCAAGUGUGCAUAUUUAUUUAUUAUUUAUUAUUCAUUUAUUUAUUUAAUGUUAUUUGUAGUAGAUAACUGAGGGGGGCACUACCCUGGCCUCCUCUUCCUCUGAUUCUCUUACUUCACACAUUUAUCUUAAUACUUCACACUAUUGUCCAUAUGCUUCAUUUUUUUUAUUUUUUUAUUCAUGACUUUUUAUCCAUACCUCACACUUUUCUUAGUAUUUCACAUUUUUUCUAGAUCAUACUCUACACUUCCUACCUGGGGGACGCGGGUUAGGCCUUUAUAAAGUCACUCUAUGGCUGCAUGCCCGCCUCGGCACACCUCCACCCUGUGAGGCGUAGAGCCCCGU